AAUUUUAGGGUAUUUUCACACACACUUGAGUCAGGUUUAUUUUUUGACUAUAUGAGACACUAACAUGCUUCCAAGAGUCAAAAGAUUACAGAAAAUUAUGAUCAGAAAAUUUGCAAGAGAAUGUCGUAUACCAGGACACACUCAAAUGAUAGAAUGGAAGUAUGAUCCAGGAAGUCUAACAUGAUGGAGAGCCCACCUUGGGGACGCUAGGAAGAAGCGGUCCAUGAUAUUCCCCAACUUUGGAAUUUUCUGUCAAGGUUGCAGAAGCCCUACAAGCUUUCACUAAAAGAUUACACUGCCAGGGGUUGACUAUUUGAUGUGCUGGUGGUCACUUUUUCCAUUGGAGAUCCGCAAACUCUGAAACUUAAACGAUUUAACUAUAAACACACAGCAAAUGAUGAAAAGAUAGCAGUCACCUCAGCUGAAAUUUGGCGGAAGUAAAAAGUACUUCUUUGGGUCCUCUGAGGAAGCUUCUGGUGUGAGAUGCAAACACUCUGAACUCCAGGGGCCAAGCUCUAUUUCAUGCCAACAAAGGAAAAAAAAAAAGUUACUCAACACCCAGAAGGCAGAAAAGCGACCUCUCUCUCUCCAUCUGCAGAAGCCAAGCAAGAGUGUGGGCCUCCGUAUGCAUCCUUUCUUUUACUCACUUUCUAAAUGCUGUAACGGCUACCAUCUAUCAGGUGGUCACAAACCAUCUCUAAAGUCAAUCUGAGGUCAACCCACUCGACUUGUGAAGGAUCCACCUAUACUGCCUCUGCACCUGUAAUAUGACUAAGGAGACGGUGGCUGCACACGUAGUUAACACCGACUGUACUGUGACUCCGACUUUCUGCAGCAGCUCUCCGGCUCUUUAGAAUCCUUUUGAGCCAAGCUGGACGUGAGGCCUAAAGGAGCUCUUUGCAAACGCCAGGGGGAAUUUCUUCAGGGUUAACUUAACUUUCAAUUGGCUUCAUUCUAAGAGAAAUAUGUGGAGCAAACAGGAACUUUUUUUCUCAUCUUUUGCAUUUCAAGCAAAAACUAAUAAUAAAAUUAGAUGUUUCCACUGUCAGGCUCAGUCUCAAAGAUGCCAGCAGAUCCCGCUUCUAACUUUUAACACAGGCACGCAGGAAAUCGGGAAAUCCCUGCAGCUCCCUCAGAAGCUACAGUAUCAGCAGUUCCUGAAGCACAAGCCAAAACCCAACAUCGCGUACUCCUCCAAAGAGCUCAGCCUUUCUGUUGAGAGACGGAAAUAGCGGCGAGGUGCUCUGGAAGCCAUGACAGCCUGGCCGAAAUGAACCAGGUCCCCUCCUGGUCGAGCCUACCCCCCUAGGGACAAGAAACGUACCUCUCUUCCCUCAUACCCAGAGGAAGCAACGGAGGGAUGUGGCGCUUAGACUCACUCUACCAUCCAGUCCAUCGAAGUCCUAAUAAUCUUCAAGAUGCAACAGAGCGAGACUCCGUCUCAAAAACAAAACAACCCUAAGGAAGAGAGAGAAUGUACUGGAGGAUAGGAAGUAUCUAGGAGAGCCUUCUUUUUUUUUUCUUGUAUUUAAAUUUAAGCCUUCAUUUAUAUAAAAUAAAACGCAUGAAACCUA